rnacentral:miRNA from 1 species
CGGGGGGGGGGGGGGGGGGGGGGGGGGGGCCCCCCUUUUCCCCCCCCCCCCCCCUUCCCCUUUUUAAAUUU